rnacentral:lncRNA from 1 species
UUACUUCAGUAUUAUUUUUAUUUAUUUACUAUAUAUUAUUUUUAAAAAAAAAUAUUAUUGUAUAUUUAUACAACUUUUUAAAUAAAAAAUUCUAAAAAUUUUUUUCUUUUCCAAAAUAUCGCUCUCUAUAAAUAUAAUUCCAAUCACAUACUAACAGCAUCAUUCAUUCAAUUUUGAUGGAAUAAAUCACAAUCGUAUAUUUUUAUUUUAUUUUUAAAUUAUUAUAAAAUAUACUAAUUUUUAGUUAUUUUUAUUUAUGAAUAUUUUUAUCUUUUGGUAUUUUAUACGACGUGCAUUUUGCGCACACUUAACUAGUUUAUUUUAGAAUUAUACUACUAUACUAUUGAUAGCAUCAAGUCAUUAGUGCUAUUAGGUUUUCGGCCUUUGGAUGAAGAAAUGUACGCUUAGGAUGAUAAUGAUUCUCUGGAGUUGAGUGGGCAGUUGUUUGAAUAGCAUAAUCCAACGGACGAAAAUAGUCAAAGGGGUAGAUCUAACGGCGGAAAACUUAGUAGAACCAAGUGCUCGGUGCUAUUGAUAGUAUAGUGGCUGGACUCUUUAUAUUAUUAUAUUUUAUCAAUCUCUAUACUAUAUUUUAAAUUUAUUUUUAUUUUUCUAUCUUGUACUUUUUUUUUUGCUUAUAGAUUUCAGUAAACUAUUUUUUUUCUCGCCAAUCUCCACAUUACUGUUUACAAAUAUAUUGUAUUAGACAAAAUUUAACAACUUUAUUAAGAGACAGUACUUAAAUAGUAAAAAAAUAGGAAAAUUAAUAAAUCUCCAUAAUACACUUAUUAAAGUUUUUAUUUUCAUUAUGUUUAUAUAUUUAAUUAUUCUUUAUGUCAAAAUAAAUUAAAUAUAUGCUACUUUUAACCAGUAUUUUUUAACAAUUUUUAUAUAUAAUUAUUGGUUCAUUACUUAUAGUGUAAGAACUAAAAAAAAAAGUUAAAUUGUGUCUUUGGAAAAAAAAAAAAGAAAAGUAUAUUGUAGAAAGUAAAAAAGCCUUCUUAUAUUUUAGCUUCUAUCUCAAUUAUUCCUUGCAUUAAGAUUGCAUCAAUUAAUUCUCCCCUUGCACCUCGUGACCAUCUCAAAUGAAUCCAAACAUUUCGAAAAUGUCAAAUUAGGUAAAGCUUCACAAAACGAGUUAGUAUAUUAUACUGUUCCAUAUCUCAAUAUCUACUUAAUUUGCAACUCAAAAAACAGAUAAAAAAUUUAGAUAAAAAAGAUCUUCCAUUUUGUUAAUAUAAUAAAAAUUGACAAUUAUUGCGCAUUUUUGUUCAAUUUAUAUGGUUCCGUUGCAUUAUUAUAAGUAGUUUCAUCUCUAUACUUAGUUAAUUUUGCUAAGUUUUAUUGCUGAAUUUAACAAUCAUACCAAAUUAAUAACUAGGCCUAUUUAAGAUAAUAGCAAAGUUUCUCUCGAAAAAAAAAGAAAAGAUAAUAGCAAAGUGUAGGGAGGUAAUUGAUAUAAUUUUUAGGGGCAAUUGCCUAUAUACCCCUGAAAAGUUCCUGGUUUUCUUAUUUACCCCUCUUAGAAGUCUAAUAUUGAAAAUACCCUUCUUAUAUUCCAAGUCUUUCUAAUAUAUCCUUGGAGUUAAGCUCCGUUAGUGAUCUGCCGUUAUCUCUGUAAAAUUACCAUUUUGCCCAUUCCAAUAUACCCUUCUACCGUAACUAACUUUUCUUAUAUACCCUUAAUAUAGCAAAUAUUUUUCUUAUUUGCCCUUCAAAUAUCAAUUAAUUAAUUAAAUACGUCGAGAUUGAUCGCAGCUAAACCAACCUUGGUAGCUGGAGGCAUAGUUAGUUAAUUCGGAUUCGGCAAAAAUUCGGUACGGAUAUAAUUCGGAUAAAAUUCGUCUUUUAAUUUUUAAAUUCGUUGAAAAAUACGGCUAAAAAACGGAUUCGGCAGUUAUUCAGAUACGUGAUUUAUACGGGUAUUAUACGUUCACCAAUUAAAAAUUCGGGAUCAAAUAUAAUUUUUAUAUAUAAUUUUUAAAAAUUUGGUAUUAUACUAUAUAUAUAUUAUUAUUAUUAUAAUAUUUAUAUAUAGAUUAAAUAUAUUUAAAAUUAUAAUAAACUUAUAUUAAUAAUAUAUAAGAGUUAUAUAUUUAAAAAUAUUAAUAAAUAAUUACAAAUUUAUAAAUAAAAUAUUAUAUAAUAAUAUUUCUAUAUAAAAAUAAAAUACUAUAUGAAUAAAUCUAUUAGUUAUUAUUAUUAUUAUUAUUAUCAUCAGAAAACACGACAGUUGAUUUACAGGAACAUAGUUAUUAAAUAAUUAAGCGCUAAUUACUUAAUAAUUGUCAUUAGUGAGAGGAUGAUAUGUACGGCUAAUAGGGGUGGUUUAGACUUUAGAUCGAGCACCUGGGAGACGACGAUGUGGCGCACGUGCGAGGAUACCCGGCCAUCGUCCCCGUUCUCGUGCGCGUGCCCGUGCGUGUGGCCGUGGGCGUGGCUGUGGUGGUGGUGGCUGUGGCCGUGCGCCGCCGCGUGCGCGCGCAUCUUGACGAUGUGCACCGCGUCGCUGCCUUUGGCGGAGCCCUCGUCCUCGUCCUCAUCCACGGGUGGCUCCGGCGCCGCCGUGAUGAUGGAGCGCUCCUCGUCGUCCUCUGCUGUGGCGUCGGUCUCGGCGGCGGCGGCGGCACGGUGCUUGCGCUAGCAGAACUGGAUGGCGAGGAAGUCGAGGACGAGGGUGGCGAGGGCGGCGGCCAUGGUGACGAAGCCGGAGAAGGGGAAGCGACGCCAGGGGAAGCGGAGGAGGCAGGGGUCAGUGAGCGCGGCCUCGGCGUUGUGGAGCAUGUGGACGAAGCCCGUGGCGAGGAUGGCGCCUGCGGCGAAGGCCUUGGCGAGGGCGAAGAAGCAGCUCUCCGUGCUCAGGAGGCGCCGCCGCUUCCGCCCCGCCGGCAGCGGGAUCGCCACGCCCACCAUCCCCGCCACCAGGAUCGCCGCCAUCGCCGCCAGCUUCAGCCGCAGCGCCGCCGCAUCGUCGCGGCACCCCUCCUCCUCCUCCACCGUGCCGCCGCAGCUUCGCGCGCGUGGUCUGGGAGGCGGCGUGCGUCAUUCUCGCCCGUGGUCUGGGAGGAAAUGAGGUGAGGUGGAGGCGGAGGAGCCGGCGAGAUGGAGGCGGAGGAGCCGGCGAUCAAGUUGGGACUUGGGAGAGAAAGAGGAUAACUUAAGGAAUUAGCAUAAUAAGUUAGGGGUAAAAUAGAUAUUUUAUAUAGAUUUUAACUCUAGUAUACAUUUAACCCAUAUUUAAUCCGAGUUAAGUUAACAGGGGAUAACUGCGGGGUAUUUUGGAAUAACAGUAGAAUAUAUGAGGGGCAUUUUAGAAAGAAAAAAAAAGUAGGGAUAGAUCAGAUAUUUUCAGACGCAUGAGGAGUAUAUAGGCAAUUAUCCCUAAUUUUUAAUGCAUGGGGGUUUAUUGAGAUUG